UACGUAGGCAGCGAGCGUUGUUCGGAAUUACUGGGCGUAAAGAGUGUGUAGGCGGUGCUCUAAGUUCGGUGUGAAAUCUCCCGCUUAACUGGGAGGGUGCGCCGGAAACUGGAGUGCUCGAGCGUGGGAGAGGAAAGCGGAAUUCCUGGUGUAGCGGUGAAAUGCGUAGAUAUCAGGAAGAACACCCGUGGCGAAGGCGGCUCUCUGGGACGGUACUGACGCUGAGACGCGAAAGCGUGGGGAGCAAACAGG
rnacentral:rRNA from 1 species